rnacentral:rRNA from 1 species
AACGAACGUUAGCGGCGCGCCUAACACAUGCAAGUCGAGCGAGAAAGGGAGCAAUCCCCGGUACAGCGGCGCACGGGUGAGUAACACGUAGGUAACCAACCUCCGAGUGGUGGAUAACCUUCCGAAAGGAGGGCUAAUACAGCAUGAGCCCACAGCUCCGAGAGGAGCAGAGGGAAAAGCCGGCCAAUCCAUGGAAGCUGGCGCUUGGAGACGGGCCUGCGGCCCAUCAGCUAGUUGGUGAGGUAAUGGCUCACCAAGGCGAAGACGGGUAGCUGGUCUGAGAGGAUGAUCAGCCACACUGGAACUGAGACACGGUCCAGACUCCUACGGGAGGCAGCAGGUGGGGUAA